rnacentral:lncRNA from 1 species
GAGCUACGAAAUGGCUUGGUAGUGGGUACCCCAAGGGUUCAUAUGAGGGUCCAAGGGCUGCCUUAUGUAGGGGGCAGUCAAGAAGAGAGCAAAAUGGAGUCCAAGAGUGUAAGUAGCCAGCUAUCCCUAAGAAGGACAGAAUUCAAGUAACUUGGUGUCCAGAAGGAAGGAGAGUGGUCAUCACUCUGAUACCGUGAUGACCCCCUAAGGCUCCCUGUCAAAGAUGGUGGUGGUCAGGACAGGAGAGCUCGGGGCCCUUCAGUCAUCCAUAGCCAGAUCAAGGAGGUCAGCUGAAGGGUGGUCUGGGCUUGAUGUCCUCAUACCAUGAGGGACAUGGGGCAGUAAAAACCCCAGUAACCUUCUUGAUGGCACCUUGGACAUGGACCAGGUGGUUUAUGAGGGUUCAGACAGGCCUGGGCCCAGAGACCGUCCUGAUCACAUGUGAAGCAGGGUCAUGGAGGUUCUCGGGCUAUGGGGGCCAGAGAGCCUGGGAGCCUGGGCUUUUGCUUUGGCUGCUGAGGUCUGAGCUGCUGUCACGUAUUCUUGUUUUUUGUCUCUGUAAAAAACAAUUAUUUUCCUUUUUCUACCUCUCCUCCUGGAAGGACAACUCUGAGACUUUAGUAAAUGGCUAGGCCUCAAGCUUUGGCUCAUUCCCCGACUAGCUUAUAACUUAUUUAACCCAUUAAAUUACUUUAUCUUCCCCAUGGUUAGUUUCCUCUCCUCCACUCUCUCCUGAGCUCAGCUACUGCUGCUUUAUGCCCAUCUCCUCGGUGUUGCCAGCAAAUCUCUUAUUCACACCACACCACAAACCUCACACAAGAGAUUAGCUGGGAGGGAAACUCGAGGGGGUGGGGGUGGCUGCCUCUGCUGAGGCCAGAAGCAGCAGAGAACUGGGCAGAACACAGGGUUUAUAUAGGGUUGGGG